GACGAACGCUGGCGGCGUGCUUAACACAUGCAAAUCGAGCGGUAAGGCCCUUUCGGGGUACGACGAGCGGCGAACGGUGAGUAACACGUGGGUGACCUGCCUCUAGCUCUGGGAUAAGCCUGGGAAGCUGGGUCUAAUACCGGAUAUGACCUCGCGGUGCAUGUUGUGGGGUGGAAAGCCUUGUGCGGCUAGGGAUGGGCCCGCGGCCUAUCAGCUUGUUGGU
rnacentral:rRNA from 1 species